rnacentral:rRNA from 1 species
CCCUACGGGGGGCAGCAGUUAGGAAUAUUCGGCAAUGGGGGAAACCCUGACCGAGCAAUGCCGCGUGUGAGAUGACGGCCCUAUGGGUUGUAAAUCACUUUUAUUUGGGAAGAAUUGUAAGCAUAGGAAAUGAUGUUUACUUGACGGUACCUUUUGAAUAAGCCCCGGCUAACUACGUGCCAGCAGCCGCGGUAAUACGUAGGGGGCGAGCGUUAUCCGGAUUUAUUGGGCGUAAAGGGCGUGUAGGCGGGAACGCAAGUCAGAUGUGAAAACUCAGGGCUCAACCCUGAGCCUGCAUUUGAAAC